GACGAACGCUGGCGGCAUGCCUAACACAUGCAAGUCUAGGGGUAGCAAUACCACUGGCGCACGGGUGAGUAACACGUAGGUUAUCUGCCCCCAUCACAGACAUAACCCCGGGAAACCGGGGCUAAUAUCUGAUGAGGUCGCGAGAUCAAAGCUUCGGCGGAUGGGGAUGAGCCUGCGGCUGAUUAGCUAGUUGGUGAGGUAAUGGCUCACCAAGGCGACGAUCAGUAGCUGGUCUGAGAGGACGAACAGCCACACUGGAACUGAGACACGGUCCAGACUCCUACGGGAGGCAGCAGUGAGGAAUAUUGGUCAAUGGGAGCAAUCCUGAACCAGCAAUGCCGCGUGUGGGAUGACAGGGCUUCGCCUUGUAAACCACUGUCGGACGGGACGAAAGGAGGCCUCGGGGCCUCUGGGACGGUACCGUCAAAGGAAGGGUCGGCUAACUACGUGCCAGCAGCCGCGGUAAU
rnacentral:rRNA from 1 species